UGGAGAGUUUGAUCCUGGCUCAGGAUGAACGCUAGCGGCAGGCUUAACACAUGCAAGUCGAGGGGUAACAGGGAAAAGCUUGCUUUUUUGCUGACGACCGGCGAACGGGUGCGUAACGCGUAUAGAAUCUGCCUUGUACAGGAGGAUAGCCUUUAGAAAUGAAGAUUAAUACUCCAUAAUGUUGAGAGAUGGCAUCAUCUUUUAAUUAAAGAUUUAUCGGUACAAGAUGACUAUGCGUCCUAUUAGCUAGAUGGUAAGGUAACGGCUUACCAUGGCAACGAUAGGUAGGGGGUCUGAGAGGAUUAUCCCCCACACUGGUACUGAGACACGGACCAGACUCCUACGGGAGGCAGCAGUGAGGAAUAUUGGUCAAUGGAGGCAACUCUGAACCAGCCAUGCCGCGUGCAGGAAGACUGCCCUAUGGGUUGUAAACUGCUUUUAUACAGGAAGAAACUUAGUUACGUGUAACUAACUGACGGUACUGUAAGAAUAAGCACCGGCUAACUCCGUGCCAGCAGCCGCGGUA
rnacentral:rRNA from 1 species